rnacentral:rRNA from 1 species
GACGAACGCUGGCGGCGUGCUUAACACAUGCAAGUCGAACGGUGAAGCGCCUUCCUUUUUGGUGGGUGUGGAUGAGUGGCGAACGGGUGAGUAACACGUGAGUAACCUGCCCCCUUCUUCUGGAUAACCGCAUGAAAGUGUGGCUAAUACGGGAUAUUCUGGGUUUGUCGCAUGAUGGGUCUGGGAAAGAUAUUGUUUCGGUGGGGGAUGGGCUAGCGGCCUAUCAGCUUGUUGGUGGGGUGAUGGCCUACCAAGGCGGUGACAGGUAGCCGGCCUGAGAGGGUGGACGGGCAGACUGGGACUGAGACACGGCCACAAUGCGUAUGGGACGCAGCACUGGCGCAUACUGCACGAUGCGGGGAAGAAUGUUGCGGCGUCGGCGAGUGACUGACGGAGCCAUGCGGGUUGUAAGACGCUUGCGUUAGGGUAGCAGGACUCUCUCGUCGGUGGGGAUGUUGACGGUAGCUGGAGAAGAAGCGCCGGCUAACUACGUG